rnacentral:rRNA from 1 species
CAAUAGCGUAUAUUUAAGUUGCUGCAGUUAAAAAGCUCGUAGUUGGAUUUCGGAUGGGAUUUGCCGGUCCGUCGUUACGAUGUGCACUGGCCAGUCCUAUCUUGUUGUCGGGGACUAGCUCCUUGGAUUCACUUCCUGGGACUAGGAGCUGACGAGGUUACUUUGAGUAAAUUAGAGUGUUCAAAGCAAGCCUACGCUCUGAAUACAUUAGCAUGGAAUAACACGAUAGGACUCUGGCUUAUCUUGUUGGUCUGUGAGACCAGAGUAAUGAUUAAGAGGGACAGUCGGGGACAUUCGUAUUUCAUUGUCAGAGGUGAAAUUCUUGGAUUUAUGAAAGACGAACUUCUGCGAAAGCAUUUGGCAAGGAUGUUUUCAUUAA